rnacentral:rRNA from 1 species
CGAGCUGGGUUUAGAACGUCGUGAGACAGUUCGGUCCCUAUCUGCCGUGGGCGCUGGAGAAUUGAGGGGGGCUGCUCCUAGUACGAGAGGACCGGAGUGGACGCAUCACUGGUGUUCGGGUUGUCAUGCCAAUGGCACUGCCCGGUAGCUAAAUGCGGAAGAGAUAAGUGCUGAAAGCAUCUAAGCACGAAACUUGCCCCGAGAUGAGUUCUCCCUGAGACUUUAAGUCUCCUGAAGGAACGUUAAAGACGAUGACGUUGAUAGGCCGGGUGUGUAAGCGCAGCGAUGCGUUGAGCUAACCGGUACUAAUGAACCGUGAGGCUUAACCUUACAACGCCGAAG